UGAGUGUUAGUUUUAAAUAGACUAUUGACAAAUUACAGAUUUUUUUCACGUAUUGAAAUUAUAUUCCAGAUGAUUUUGAGAUUUACUGGUAUAAUAUUCUCCUCAUGAGGUAGGAUGGAAGGGAAGAAAUAGAGAAAAAAUGUUCUGCUCUGAAAUAAAUGUGGUGUUUCCUGACAGCGUUUGUCAAGAAGGAAAGGUCGAAAAUAAAGCACUGAUGGAAAUACAUGAUAAAUAAGAGAUGGGGUUCCACCAUGUAGCCCCGGCUGGUCUUGAGCUCAUGAGCUCAAGCGAUUCACCUGCCUCAGCCUCCCAAAGUGCUGGGAUUACAAGUGUGAGCCACCAUUCCUGCCUCUAUACCUCUAAAGGUGUUGAAUAAUUUGAAUGGGAAUUUGAAGGUCCAUGGCUUCCAAACCAGCAGGAGUUAAGGCUUAAUUGCUUGGAAAUACAUUUUCAUGGCUGAUACCAGUAACAGAAAAAUGUCUGUAUGUCAAGAGGCUCUGUACUAAUCAGUUAACCAUAACAUGUGCCACCCCAUACCUUGGGCCAAUGUAACUGUUAACAGCUUGAAGCUAUUAAAAAUGUACCAAUGGA
rnacentral:lncRNA from 10 species